rnacentral:pre_miRNA from 1 species
UUUCCGAAAACAUUUCGGAAGGAUAAAACUUGUUCUCCCAAAAAAACCGCUGAAAAACCCCUACGUUAAUCGCGGAAAAAGGAAACACAACAAAACGAUUACACAGCUCGGUCGCUACGUAGCGACCGAGCUGUGUAAUCGUUUUGUUGUGUUUCCUUUUUCCGCGAUUAACGUAGGGGUUUUUCAGCGGUUUUUUUGGGAGAACAAGUUUUAUCCUUCCGAAAUGUUUUCGG